rnacentral:lncRNA from 1 species
AGAUUCUGCACACUCAACAUAACCAGACCACUGUGAUGGAGAAUGGAAGUUCUCCCCCAUCCACCACAUCUCUGUCCCCUCUGAAGUCAUUGAUGCAAUUCGUCAGGUGUCACGGCAUCCAUUUACAAUACAUGGUUUUGGGGAUGUGCUUUGAUGGAAAACACCUUCCUCUCCACCAAAAGGUGAAAAAGUAACAACACCAGGAAAUCAUGAAGCCACAGAUGAUAUUUGCCACACGCUCUGGGUUUAGACUUUUUAAGAAUUAUUUGCUGCACUCUUUUUUCUUUACCCUGCGGGAGGGGGGCACACACAUUGCAGGCUGGUGGCGCGCUGGCUAUAGCAGCAUGGUGCAGGGCAUGUAUGGGAGCGCUUGCUGGAGGGCAGCUCUCGCCCACCACCGUGCGUGUGCCUGCGAGCCUGCUUGAAACAAAGAGGCUCACACCGGGGAAGCCCCAACUUGGACAAUGCAAAUAUUUCAGCAUCCAAACGGUUAAUGGUGAGUAUUAUAGCUUCAAAAGAGCCCAUUGGCUAACCCUCAAGGAUGCCCUGCAAUUGUUAAACUCAUCAGAUGAAACUACUCUUCUCAGCUAGCCCUUACAUUUGUCUGGCUAACAGUAAAAAUACUAUAAUAAAUCGGGAACAUAUGUUGCCAGACAAGAAUAAGUGAUAUAAAUAAAGAGUCAAGAGACAUAGCCCCUCAAGAACAAUGUGUAAAGAUUUAAACUUUCAAUGUAUUAGUUAAUCUAGGAACAUUUUAGGAGUAACUUGAAAGCGGUGUAUUGUUUGUUUAUAUCAUUCCUUUUUUUUUUUUUCUUUUUCUUUUUUUUCCUUUUCUUCUCUUCAGAUUGCAUUUUAAAUCAAAAUGCUCUCCAUGACUGCCUGCUUUGCAGCACUAGGGUAAGUGCCAUUUUUCCACAGCUUAAACAAAAAUAUGCCUAAGGAAUCUAUGCCAGGAAGGCAUUUUGUUGGUUUUUGUUUUAUGAAAUAUGCACAGUGUUGUUGGAAAAACAGCCUUUCCUUUUUUAAUUUAUUUUUAUUUUUCUCCAAAUAUGUGAAAUUGUGCAUUUGCAAAACAGAGCUGCUCUCAUGUAAGCUAAUUCUUUGCGAAGGUGACAAGGCUCCAAACUUGUAAUAAAUUAUCAACGGCAGCAUUAGGAAAGAAAAUAUAAAACCAAAUAUGCUUUGAGAAUUGACUGAAUAUUUUAUUUAUCUUUUUUUUCUUUUAUUGAGGCAUCCUUUGAAAAAUGGCACAAAAUAAAUAGUUUUGCAAAGCAACAAUAUAAUCAAUCUCUAAACGAGAGGAUAAAUCAAGGAUUUCAUUAACUGCUGGUAGCCAGUUUAAAUUGUAGUCUUGUCCAUAAUGUCUAUCUAUCUAUGUAUGUCCAAGUUAUAUUAAAAACCUUUAAAUGGCUUUGUAAUAUCAGCUACAUCUAGCUAUUAUAAUAAUUAAUGAUACUGUUUUAUAAAUCAAUAUAUGUAUUCUUGAUAAAUUCAUAUCCAGUUAAUGGUGUAAUUUAAAUAAAAAAUUAAUGCAAUAAAGGACAUACUGGAAUAGGCAGGAAAUCUUUAAAGGUUAAGAGGCAAAUUUGUCUAAAUUCUUUUCUUUGUACCUAUUUUUGAGAAAGCGCCCAUUGAAAUUCAGCUGCGAGCAGGCUCGCUCUUACGGCCACGCUCUGGCCAUUAGUUUUGGAUUAUCAGCAGCCGUGGAGUUUUGCAGGCAGAUGCAACGCAAGGUCCUUCAGCUGAGCGAGCGCGUCCCUCCCUGCUCCCUAAUCCUGCUGCCGAACUGCAAACAAAAGUCGUGGGAGGAACGUGCCGGCCUUUGGCCAGGAACAGAAAGGGGGGAAAUGUGCUGUUUCCAACGCUCCCCAUUGAUCCCAUCUUUGUAGCGUCGCUGGGAUUUUUGGCUUAUUGUAUAAAGUGUCAAAAAAGGUAAAAUGUAAAUAUUUUGUCCUGGGUGUGGAGCGCGUUGAGAGGAGCAUGGAAACCCUGCAGCCUGUGCAGCGUAAUAAAAAUCUGUUCUUUAUCUCUUGUUUUAAAUACAGUUAAUCCAGUUUAUUCAGCAAACACGUCUAAGAGCAACUUAAGGGGAAAAAAAGCUGGAAAUCGCCUCUUCAUAUUUCUAGAUGGCGCGCUGGUUGUUGCCACUUUUGCUGCUUUUCACGUCAGAGAAGUCGGGUAACGUGGGGCCCUUUGAAAUAUGUCUCAUCUGAAACAAACUUCUGCCCGCAAACCAUAGAUGCAAGAAAUAUUUAUUAUGGCCGAGCAAGGCUUUCCUUUUCCUUAAUCUGAGGCAAUUAGUACCUGAAUAAACACAGAGCGAGCAAUCCACCUCCUCACUGUGUAAUUGCACUUUAGAGGAGUUCCUCAGCUCUGCCCAAGGAAGCACAGCUCCCACUGAAGUGCUUGGAGCUCACUUUCACCCUGCCUGUAAACCCUCUGACUUUUAAUGGAAAACCCUUUGCGCUCCCCCAACUCUGCACUCCUCAAACCCUGGCCAGGCCCAGUUCUCUCCCCCCGAAAUCUUUCACCCUGCUUCUUAUUUUUCCUGGGCUCUAAUCUAAUCACUAAUUCCUUCGCUUGGCCAAAUAGUUAAAAAUGUUAAGUGCUGGCAGUUCCUCCUGCCUCCCCCCCGUAUCUGUCUCUGUUUAUGGAACGGGCCCUGGUUUCCUCCUUCUCUUGUUCAGCUGUAGGUCUUCAGGUCGGGAGACUGUAAAUACACACAGCACUGCCCCGACCCAUAAAUCUGAGCAAAGGGCAGCCCUAUAUAUUCAGAUAAGCCACGCAGAGAGGGGGAAAGUUAGAAAAAAAAAAGAGGGGAGAAAUGAGGAAUAAAAGCAAAGUAAGGCAAAGGCAAGGUGACACCUCCAUGAACAUGCCAACAGGGCAUGUGGGAUGCCCACCGCUGCCCUCUGUUUGUGCACAAAUCAUCACAAAAUGCAUUGGAUUCUCUUUAGGCAAUGAAAUGAAACCCCAGAUCUCCAUAGCUUUCUGACGUGCCUUUCUCUCCCCCAGCCCUUUGUUGGUCGAUUCCUUCCCCCCCCUCCCAUUUUAUUUCCAGCACCUCUGAAGCUUUCAAGGGAACAGUCCCCCUGUUAUUGCUUCUCAGCUCCAAGGUCUUAGAAUAAAUAACAUUGUUAUUACUCACUUCACCAAUUUCCAAGAAGAAAUAUUGCCGCAGCAAAUGCGAGCAGCACUAAUAUUUGCAAAGUGAUAAAUGGAUUGCUACAUACCUUCCUGUCUGUGUGGCCUCCAGCCAUCCCUAGGCCAGCUCCAUCUCCUUGGGCACCUUUGAACUGAGAGGGCUCCAAGCACGGUGCCUUGCACGGAUCCCCUCCCUCGCCCUCUUAUGGGGAGAGGAGCUCAGACCUGGAGUUGAGUACCGGGGGAGGUGGCUGCCCUGCCUGCACGUACCUGGCAAAUAACAUACAGAUAGUUUAAGCAACGGUUCUAUCUACUUCUCUGAUGUGGUGUGGACUCUUUGAUUGCAUCGAAAACAAAAUCUCCGAAUUCAAUUAUUCCUGGGACAUGAGUCAUGCUGAAAAACACUUUAAAUGUCUGCUAAUUAAAAACAAAGUGCAACUUCUUGCUUCACCCCACAGUGGCUGCUCCAGCAAAGCAAGCCAGACUGCCACCAACAAUGGGCCACUGAAACCCUGCUUUGCUCUGCUCCGAAGAGCCUAUGUUGGCCGCCAAGCCCUUCCUGGCUCCUUCCAUUCUGAUGACAUGUUCUCAGCUGAGACCGUUGCAAUUCCAGGCUAUGCUCCAGUGCCUAUGGUUAUUCUGUUGUUUGGCUACUUGAUUGCUUGGCUUGAGCUCUUUGGCUCGGACAAGUGGCUUCACCUGAGCUCACCCAGAUAUCAGAGAUGGUAUGAAGGUGGAUUUUCUUGUGCAGAGCAAAAUGCAGCUGCUCCGGACCAUCAUCUCAGUGUCUUCGUGGUUGUGUCACAUCCUCUGUGCAGCAGGGGCAGCACCAGGAGCUCUCCUUGGGCAUUUCUCCCCACCCCUUUCCUUCUGAAGGGGCUGGCAGGAGCCUUAGGGAACAUCCAACAGCAUGAAGAGGUUAUAUGCAGAGGGCAAACAGCAUCCUAUGGCUUCUAGAUGAGUUGAUGGGUACACACAAAAGUUUCUGUGAUGCUGGGUGAAGGUGCGAGCACAGUGUGGUCGUGAUGAUCCAUGGACAACUCUGCACCCAAGGGGAUGGAGAAGGUGGUAGACUGAAAACCUGGGCUAAAUAUAUCCAUACAUAUAAAUGUAUUCUUUUUUUCCUUUAUUUUCUUUUUUUUUCCCCCCAAGAAGUAACCCUUAGCUGUAACAUGGAGAGUGAGCUUGAGAACUGCUGAAAAAUAAUCACCCAGAAAUUGUGGGCAGAGGUGCAAAAGGGUCGAGCAGGAGACAAUAAAAAUCUGUCUGGCAGUUUUCCUCUUGACCGAGGUAAAUACCAUAUUUGCUUUUUUGUUGUUGCUUUUAAGAUAAGACAAAUCGAAAUGAAGGCCAUGAAAUACAGAUAAGGAGAGAAAGUCCUUCGGGAUGGGCUUGUAAAAGCUCAUGCAAAGUACAUACAGUUGGGGAGUAGUAAUAAAAAGUGAUAGUUUGUAUUGGUUUCUAAUCAAAGGCUUAAUACACCAACCAUUCAUAAUGCUCAUAAACGUCUGUGUGCACUGUUAUACAGGCAUGCAGCUAUAGAUACAUAGAUGUGAAUGUACAUACACAUAAUUACAUGCAUAUUGUGCACAUACGCAUAUGCUUAUAUAUCCAACAAUGCUUAUUGAUGGAUGAAUAAGUGCACAUAUUAAGAUGCACAGAUACACAUACGUGUAAGCAAAACCAUGCACACAACUCUAGAUUCCACCCCAAAAUACACAGCUUGCCACCAAUGAAAAAGAACAAGGACUGCAAAAUUAUCUCAGGAAAAAAAGGAUGAAAGGAAGUGUCAGGGUGAGAGCAGCAGCAGUGUCACUUUAGGGAGCCAUCCCACUGCUUGCAAGCGUUCAGAAAUCACAGAGCACAUACCAGCACAUCUCCCAGCUCAGAAGCAGGCAGGGAAUGGCUCAAGACCGUGAUUUUGGGGCAAUUUGUGCCGAUUCCUGCUGCCCCACCAAGCAGGCAGCCCUGGGAGAUCGGCCUCAGCCAGAAGCAGGAAACAUGCAGGUAAGAACAGUCAAAAUAAUUGAAUAUAUACAUCCACAUGCACACAAGUUUCUGUAAACAGGCUUUGAAAGGGGGGAAAAAAAUCAUGACUUUAUUUUUUAUUACUUCUUCUCUUCAAACCUUAAAAAAAAAAAAAAGCCAAGUCAGUUCUUAUUUUAUCCAGACCAGUUCAUAAAUCCCAGGUCAUAAAUCCACAUGAUAUCCCGGGCUGCUGGAUUUUGCAUUUGGAGCUCUGAAAGACUGAUAGCUGAAAGAUUUAUAAGAUCCCAGGUAGUCGGUGUGCUCCCACCAGCCCCACUGCUGAGGGUCCGUGCACCCUAGGACACUGGGAAACGUGUAUGGGGACGUUGUACAGGGGCAGCUCUCCCCUGGAUCCUGGUCCUGGUUGGACUGAAUGUGUGCAGAAGGAUACAACCUGGUCCUCUGGGCUGGCCAGGGGCAUGUAGGGGCUUUUCCAUGCUGUGAGAUGAGGGCAUUGGGAGCAUGGAGCUUGCUGCCACCUCCUUCAGCUGUACUGAAAUUUUGUUCCUUGCAGUGUCAUUUAAUAGGAAUGAGUGCUCAGUAGGAGUGGAGCAUCACUGCUGGCAUUUCUGUAGGGCCAGAGGAUGCAUAGAGGGGAAUGGGACUGCCCCUCUGGCAAGAAAAUGGCAAAUGGAGAUAAUGUGGUUGCAGUAGGUGCAGCAAACAAUGCUGCCAGCAAAGCAGCACAUUUGCAUUCCCUAAAGAGCACUGAAGGUUAUUAUUAUUAUUUUCCUCUUUGUAGGUUCAGUGGGCAUUUCAUGUGAGGCCAUGUCACUGGGACAAGAGUCAUCCCUGAAAGAGACCCUCUGAAGAGUGAUGUGUCCUGUCUGUCUGCAUCCAUAGGAUGCUGAAAGGACCCCUACAGCCUUCCUUCUAAUAUUUACUCCUAUUUUUUUUCCUUUGUGACCAUGUUCAAGCGUAGUAUUUUUCUUCAGACUUUCACUGACAUUCGUGUUGCUUUAAUAGAUACAUAUAGGAAAACCACUUCUGCAAUCGCAGUAGUUCCUUUGUAGCCAUAAGGCUAAUAACUAACAUCUUUGCCACCAAGAACAGACCAUGGCAUUUACAUGGGAACUACAGCAGACCCACAGAAGGGUAAGUUUCAGUUUAUUCCCCAAAUCUCACCUUUUUUCAAGCCUGGGAGUGACUCUCAUGAGUGAGUAUGUCUGCUGGCAGCACCCCUGCUCCAUCUGCAUUGGUCUGGGGAGCUUUGCUGUUCUGUGCUUAUUCAAGCCACAGACUUCAUUAGUGCUGGUUAUGUGAAGUUUUGCAGCUUUAAAAGGGCAACUUAUCCUGAAGUUUCCUUUCAUUAAAAGCAUCCACAGGAGCUCCUUUUUUUCCCUGUGUUUCUUCUAAUUCUGUUACUAUCUCACUAAUUACAAAUGCUGUACAAGAACUAGUAUUGAGCUAUAGAAACGAAAGGUCAAUACAAGAACAACACUUCAUUUGUAAAUAAUAUGGCUCUGCAAUCAAUUAUCUCAUUUUCACAGAAGACAUAUUAAUCUAGGAGCAAAGGAUGGAGACAUUUGGAGGAUGUGCAGAGGGGAUCUUUAAAUGUUAAAUGUUCUUUAGCAUGUGCUAAAUAAAGGCUUCAGCAGAGCAAAAAUGUAGUGCAUAGCACUGACACUCCAGGGAGAUUCUUUAGGUCAAGUGAUUUGCACCUUCAAAAUAGUUCUCCAUUGCACUGUAAAGCCUCUGUCACUGGUGGGCUGAUGUUAUUUAGGAUGAUAGCUGCAGCAGAGAAAAUACUGCAAGAAGGAAAAAAAAAAGGUCAUCAGUGAAAAAGGUGUGCGUUUGGAUAGGCGAAUCCAGCCCUCUUUGCACUGGUUGCAGUUGGCCAGCAUAGGGGUGUGCAGAAAGCUCCUCUCAGUAAAAGAGCCCCUGCAGGAUCAUUGCCUUUUCCAUGGGUCACAGCAGGAAUUCGUGUUAUGAUUCAGAGAUAGGCUCGGGGGUCCCACAACCAUAACCAUCACUAGAGGAACCUGUAAGGAAAUACACUCCCUGACCUAAAACCAGCUCAAGAUUUCUUCAUGCUCCCAUCAAAUGGCAAGGAAAAGCUCCUGUCGGCUUCUUCCCCAAAGAGACAGCAGGAAGAAAGGAACACAUGCAAUGCCUGCUUGUUUUUGCCUUUCUGCAAACAACAUGGAAACAACAUAGCAUGGAAAAGAAAGCAACCAAACAAAAAUCCCCCUGGAGUGAUUCCCAAGGUAGAGCAGGUUUGCUCGCCCCAGCGGGUGCACCGUAUCUGCUUGCCCCAGUGGGCCCUUCCAAGUACUCCACAAGCUCCGUGCCAAAAUAAAUGUUACUUCACCAUCGAGCAGGCAGAAGAAUGAAAAUCUGGAUAUGUGUGAAUAAGAAAAAAAGAGCAAAAACAGGAAAGCCUUUUUCUUCUGGUUUUAAAACCCUGGAUGAUCAAGGCCGUUCUGCUCGUUCAGAUGUAGGCAGUUUGUAGAUACCCAAACACGCACCCAGCCAUGGAAAGUGCUUCCCCCUCUGAUUCCAGCCAAAUCCUUUCUAAUUCUCUUUAAAUGUUCCAGGGCUUUUUUGAAAUUGCUAUCAAUGCCAAACAAAUGCCUUAGAUCUUUCUCUUUUUUUUUUUUUUUUUUUUUCUAUCUUUAAAUACUUGCCUUAUUUUUAUGCUGCCCAGUUACCGCUGUACAUGGAAAAAGAAUCUAGAAAGAGAUCUGGUUUGCUUUAGCCUUUAAAGCAUAUAGAGUUAGACACUUUAACCUUCUUUGUAUUUACUUAGUUGCUUUAAUAUGAUUCCUGUAACCCCUAUAGUUCUUUUCUUUCCAUACAACUUAUUAAAUAUUUAUAAUACAGUAGCCCAUACAUAUCAGACAGGUCAGGUUUUUAUUACAUUGCGCUUGCCAUAGCGAUCCAGUAAAUCAAAACUCACAUUCCCCCUAAAAGUUAGAAAACUAGGAUUGCUCAGGUGAGCUUGGGCUGAGUUUGAGAGAGUCCAGCUUAAAAACAAGCCAAGCUGAUUAGAUGGGCUAGCUGAACCAGGAAGUAAUAGAGCCCCAAAGGCAACAGAUCUUCCCAUUGUGCUCCUUGGCUGGGCACAUGUCCAUCUUUCAGAGCCUUUGCCAUUGCUGUCACAUGUCCCUGAGGUGGUUCACGAACCACUGAGUCUUCCCCAAACUCUGGGACAGCAUAUAUUUUUCCCUCAGCCAUUUUAUUUGAUGCCUUUUGGAUCUCCUGAGCCUCUGUUGCACACUACUGUUGCUUCUCCACGCUGUGCGCUGCACGUACCUGUGCAGAUGUACACGGGGUUCUCAGCACUGGUGAUCAGUUUGGAAGGCAAACCUCUUCCAGGCAGCCUUCCCAACAGGAUCACUCUGUGGUGAAUGCUCCCUCGUGCACUCUGUUCUACCAUUACUAAAUGCAGCUUUCCAGCACUUUCCAUGCUGUAGCUGCAUUGCAAAUCUUCAGGCCACGUUGCCAGUGCCUGAGCAGCAC